rnacentral:lncRNA from 1 species
AUGUUCUUGCUCACCUUCACUGACUCGUCCUGGUUUAUUAUCCCACACAAAACUACAGGGGGUCAAGGGGGGCAUUAUUUCAAACAGGCGGACGACUUCGUCGCGAAUUACAGUAAACCAAGUGCACGAUUCGCCGUGUUGCCUCGACUUCAUAAAUAUCGCUGUUCUCACGACUUCGCUAAGAAACUUCAACGAAGUUCCGGAGGCGCGCGCGUGCGCGGCGGCAGCGCUGACACGUCGCGCGCUCGGAGCCCGUGUGUGUGCUCAGCGCGAGACUCCAUUUGGGAAACUUGCACACAGCACAAAACGCGCCAGAAAACGGCAAAUAUCCCCACAAAAACGAUUUUCGAAGCUCGAGACUACGGAGGCCACGGUCAGCCAGAGAGCUGCGGAUCCGCUUCUUAUUUUUUAACGAGUCCACAGGCCGUCUCCGGGUCCAGGGAAAGUCCACGUAGACAGAAGGGGCAGGAGGAUGAGCGGUCUGGAGGAAUCGACAUGGAGUCCAGCUUGUGUUCUAGGGCGAAAAACCCGCCAGGUACUUACUUCUGUUGGUGUUCCCGUCUGCCCGAGAUGGUGCAGAAGCUUGACAACGUAACUCCAGGAGUGAAGAGCGUUGCCCACGAGCCUGCAGUAUUUAUAGUGACACCAGCUGGCCAAUGGCGCGUUGCCACGUCACAGCCUCGACUUCGCUUCCAGGAAGAGCUUGGAACGGUCGUGAAAGAGUGCAACGCAUGCAGCGCACGUACCUGCGCGCAAACGGUGGCGGUAGUGCGCGAGGGAAGCGUGUGCACUCUGAUGUUUUACAUUCCGUUAUUUUCACACAGCGCAACGCGCCCCGUGCUCGUGGUGAUAUGCAGAAUCUGUCGAAGUAAUUUUUUUAAAUUCUAUUAACUAAAUACUCGUAGACCAAAAUUGAUUAUAUUCAAGAGAAAUCGUCCAGCCCAUUUUAAUUAUUACCUGCAGCGCAUAAUACAGUUUAUUGCAGUGGCGAAAUGAACCAUUUUUUUUUGAUCACGUGAUGAUAUCAUUCUGUUUAAUUUUACUGUCACAUCAUUGUAAUAAACUGUAGCGCGUAUGCGUGCA